rnacentral:rRNA from 1 species
GACGAACGCUGGCGGCGUGCUUAACACAUGCAAGUCGAACGGUGAAGGUGGAGCUUGCUCCGCCGGAUCAGUGGCGAACGGGUGAGUAACACGUGGGCAACCUGCCCCUCACUUCGGGAUAACUCCGGGAAACCGGGGCUAAUACCGAAUACGACCUCCUUGGGCAUCCCGGGAGGUGGAAAGUUUUUCGGUGAGGGAUGGGCCCGCGGCCUAUCAGCUUGUUGGUGAGGUAACGGCUCACCAAGGCGACGACGGGUAGCCGGCCUGAGAGGGAGACCGGCCACACUGGGACUGAGACACGGCCCAGACUCCUACGGGAGGCAGCAGUGGGGAAUAUUGCGCAAGGGGCGAAAGCCUGACGCAGCAACGCCGCGUGCGGGAUGAAGGCCUUCGGGUUGUAAACCGCUUUCAGCAGGGAAGAAGCCGCAAGGUGACGGUACCUGCAGAAGAAGCACCGGCUAACUACGUGCCAGCCGCCGCAGUAA